rnacentral:rRNA from 1 species
AUUGAACGCUGGCGGCAGGCCUCACACAUGCAAGUCGAACGAGUGGCGGACGGGUGAGUAAUGUCUGGGAAACUGCCCGAUGGAGGGGGAUAACUACUGGAAACGGUAGCUAAUACCGCAUACCAUCGGAUGUGCCCAGAUGGGAUUAGCGAGUAGGUGGGGUAACGGCUAACAUAGGCGACGAUCCCUAGCUGGUCUGAGAGGAUGAACAGCGACACUGGAACGGAGACACGGUCCAGACUGCUACGGGAGGCAGCAGUGGGGAAUAGUGCAGAAUGGGCGCAAGCCUGAUGCAGCCAUGCGGAGUGUAUGAAGAAGGCAGUCGGGUUGUAAAGUACUUUCAGCGAGGAGGCGUUACUCGCAGAAGAAGCACCGGCUAACUCCGUGCCAGCAGCCGCGGUAAUUC